AUGCCUCAAUUGCACCUGUUCGGCAAAGGUGUGGAGUUUAAAACCAACACCCUCCCUUCAUAUAGACGAUUACGCUGCCCACCAAAAUAAAACGUAUAUGAACAAUGAUUGUCACUAAUGACAAAAUAUUGACUUCUGUGCGAUAUAAAAAAAUAUAUAUCGGGUAAGAAAAGAAUAUCAGAUUAUAACCGUUGCAACGGGUUGUGGAAUAAUUGAAUGCACCUGGCGAGAUGGUAGGUGGUAUUGCUUUUUCGACUUGCUUUGAGAGGAAAGAACAGAGCCGAGCAAGGAUAAUGGAAAAGGGGGACAAUGCGAAUAUGGCACAGAAAACAGAAAUGUGGAUGGGGGGUUAAUGCUUUUAUUGGAAUGGUUACUUUUUAUGCAAGUGAGACUGAAACAAAAUCGGUGCGAUCAGGAUGGUGGAGGACGCAGCAAGGGAGAUUUUAGUAUAGAAAUUGAGGGAAUUUUAGAGAAAGGGUUUGGUGCGACCCAGACGCUAGGGAAAUGCAGAAAUGGUAAAGACUGUACUUCAGUUUGUUUUACGGAAACCAAGGAAGAAAUACUGUAAUACGUGCAGUAGGUGGCGGUAAUACACGAAUCUAACUCAAACAAGGAGAAAGAAGAAGGAGCAACGCGGAGAAGAGGGAGAAAUAGGGGAGUCUAAUACAAGACAAUCAGUUCACUUCGGUUGAUCAAAUUGGAAAAAAAAAAGCAAAGGGGCGGCAUGUUGUAUAGUCCCGGGACCUGUGUGUGGUUGUUUGUGUCUUCGCUCAGAUGAUUAUUCCGGUGUCCGAAUCCAAGUCAUAAAUAGGACUGGGAUCUCGGCGGCCAGGUGGGAAGUUCGAACAUUUAACCAGCGAAUUGCUUAUUGUGUGUUUUGGGCGGGUAAUGAGAGUCUAGUAGGGAAUGUGCAGUAGUCUAGAUUUGAGUGGAGGCUAAUGAGUUUUUGUGACUCUGUCUACGACUUGAUGUUUAUAGCAUUAUUUGAUAGCAGUGGAACGUGGUUAGCGUGGACCGAUGUGGACAAAUCGAUAUGGAUAUGCGUUACAACUGUGCCUUAUGUGGAUAUUCACUAUACCUGUUGGCAUAGACUAGGCUACUGAAACACAAUGUAGUGACUCCGCUUUGCUAGCUUGCAAAUGGUUUGAAACCGAAUGAACAACAUGGACAUUUGGAUCAUGGUUGUCUUGGUUCUAUUCAUAAUACUCAGUAUUCAGUAUUAUAAAGGGGUGCAAUUUAAAAAAUGGGGAACCAUGAAUCACCCAAUCCAGCAAUAAACUGAAUAAAUAAACGACAUUCCAAGUUGGUUUCUGGUUUAAACAUCCAUGUAUAAUAUGCUGAUUUCACCCAAGUGUUUUUUGUUCUGGAAAAUAAUGCCGAUAUUAACGAUUUAUGCCGUUAUUUUCCGUUGUUACAAUAGUACCUCACAUAUUUAAAAAUUGUAAUGUCGGACAAUGUUUACAUUUAUUUAACUUGUUCUUGCUAAAUUGUAGCCUACAGGAACCGUUUGUGAUCGUUCUGAAGCAAAAUUUCACAGCUUUUUGCAUUACCGGGGGGAAGGAAUGAAGGGCUCAGGACUCAAAAACAGGACAAGACGAACUAACAGUGUGCAACUGAAAAGGACAGGUAUAAAUACACAGGGGAAUGAGACAAACUAGGCGGGGCAUGGGAGUGAGGGCGGUCUAACAAAUAAACAUCAGGUGAGACACAAGAAAGGGUAAUAGCACAAUAAUGAGGGGGAAACGAAUCCAGGGGGGACUGGAUUCACAAAGACACAUGUAAUACAAACGGCUCCGGACAAGGGAGUAGACAAUUGCAGAGAAUCAGGAGAUGCAGAGAUACGGAGAGACAGGAAGUACCUCUAACAGUGAGUUUGAAGAAGAGGAUGAGACUGACCCUCAGCCAGCCCUGGGACCAGCACAUCAGCAGCCAACCCAUCAGACUCUCCAUGGCUAAAACAUCACAUGCGAUAACAUCAAGGCAGGAGCUACUCUAGAGGAAGCUGAUGAUGGCAGGGACACAAAAAAAAACAAGCCAGAGCUCCCACCCCAGAUGUUGACGUCACAGAACAUCUACAUUUGUGUUGAUGGCUGACCUAAGAAAGGAAAAAAUGUAGAAGUCAUGAGUAUGCUGCAUAGCGAUGGGAGAACCUGCGGCCAGGUGGUUCCAAAUAUGAACCAUAUAUUUGGUCUAUAUUGCUUGUAAUUGAGGAAGUCAACAUCUUUUAAGUAUUUUUACAUAAAUUGUAAUGGCUGUAUUGUUUUAAAAAGCCAGUAAUGUUGUGGGUGCACAAGAACUGUGAACAUUGGGUAAAUAACAAAUACAAACACCACACAAGGGUUAACUAAAUAUUGGGUAUCAAAGCUUUUACAAUUGUAGUAGCCCAUUUGUUACAGCAGCCUACUGCUGGUCAUCCUGGCAUCCUGGAAGAGUUUAGUCUUCAAAAAUGAAGUCAACUUGGAAAAAUGUUUUGGAAACCGUUUGGAAAGAUGUUUGGAGCUUACCUGAUCAAUACAUGAUAUAUUAGCUGAUCUAGAUGUAUAAGAAUAUGGGAGAGGUGUAUUUUAAGAUUAUUCAGAGAUAGUGAAUUCAUCGAUAGUAACCUGCUUUUUCCUGAAAUUUAAGAAGGACAUCAAUAUGAAUUGUUGUUUUAGUGAUGCUUACCUUGACAUCUCAUCUGUUUCCAUGCUGUACCCAUACUAAUAGGACUUGGGAAGAUUUAUGCAGAUUACUUCUAGACAAUAUCCCUUCUGAAGUUGCUUUGAAGUAAAAUUUACUGUUUGCUUUUCUUAAAUAUGAUGAAUCAUCAUUACAUUCAUAAUUUUAUAAUUAUUUUAGCCAAACGUUAUAUUCACAAAUCCAAAUUUUGCAGUUUAUUUUUGAAAAGGAUACUUAGCAGUACAUAAGUGCUAUUUUAACGUCUGCAAAUAAAAAGACAUGGAAAACUGCAA